CAUCUCUGCAGUUAAACUCCUUACAGUAUCGUCAGUACUACGGUAAGAGAUUACGUGGGAAUACGAUAUGCUGUAAUUU
rnacentral:rRNA from 1 species